rnacentral:rRNA from 1 species
AAUCGAUAACCGCUGAAAGCAUCUAAGCGGGAAGCGAGCCUUGAGAUGAGUUUUCCCUGGCACUAUAAGUGUCCUAAAGGGUUGUCGUAGACUACGACGUUGAUAGGCAGGGUGUGUAAGUGCUGCGAGGCAUUGAGCUAACCUGUACUAAUUGCCCGUGAGGCUUAACCAUACAACACCCAAGGGGUUU